UAGGGAAUCUUCGGCAAUGGGGGCAACCCUGACCGAGCAACGCCGCGUGAGUGAAGAAGGUUUUCGGAUCGUAAAGCUCUGUUGUAAGUCAAGAACGGGUGUGAGAGUGGAAAGUUCACACUGUGACGGUAGCUUACCAGAAAGGGACGGCUAACUACGUGCCAGCAGCCGCGGUAAUACGUAGGUCCCGAGCGUUGUCCGGAUUUAUUGGGCGUAAAGCGAGCGCAGGCGGUUUGAUAAGUCUGAAGUUAAAGGCUGUGGCUCAACCAUAGUUCGCUUUGGAAACUGUCAAACUUGAGUGCAGAAGGGGAGAGUGGAAUUCCAUGUGUAGCGGUGAAAUGCGUAGAUAUAUGGAGGAACACCGGUGGCGAAAGCGGCUCUCUGGUCCGUAACUGACGCUGAGGCUCGAAAGCGUGGGGAGCGAACAGGAUUAGAUACCCUGGUAGUCCACGCCGUAAAACGAUGAGUGCUAGGUGUUGGAUCCUUUCCGGGAUUCAGUGCCGCAGCUAACGCAUUAAGCACUCCGCCUGGGGAGUACGACCGCAAGGUUGAAAC
rnacentral:rRNA from 1 species